rnacentral:rRNA from 1 species
UACGUAGGGGGCAAGCGUUGUCCGGAUUUAUUGGGCGUAAAGCGCUCGCAGGUGGCCCGAUGCGUCGUGCGUGAAAGACCCCGGCUCAACUGGGGAGUGUCGUGCGAUACGGUCGGGCUGGAGGCCAGUAGGGGGAUGCGGAAUUCCGGGGUGUAGUGGGUGGAAUGCGUAGAGAUCCGGAGGAACACCAGCGGCGAAGGCGGCAUCCUGGACUGGUCCUGACACUCAG